GUGCCAGCAGCCGCGGUAAUACGAAGGGUGCAAACGUUGCUCGGAAUUAUUGGGCGUAAAGCGCACGUAGGCGGCUUUGUGUGUCGGAUGUGAAAUCCCUCGGCUUAACCAAGGAAGUGCAUUCGAAACUGCAAAGCUUGAGUACUUAAGAGGAUCGCGGAAUUCCCGGUGUAGAGGUGAAAUUCGUAGAUAUCGGGAGGAACACCAGUGGCGAAAGCGGCUCACUGGACCACAACUGACGCUGAGACGCGAAAGCGUGGGUAGCAAACAGGAUUAGAUACCCUGGUAGUCCACGCUGUAAACGAUGAGCGCUAGGUGUUGUGGGUGUUGACCCCUGCAGUGCCGCAGCUAACGCAUUAAGCGCUCCGCCUGGGAAGUACGGCCGCAAGGCUAAAACUCAAAGGAAUUGACGG
rnacentral:rRNA from 1 species